rnacentral:misc_RNA from 1 species
GGUAUUCACACCACCCUCACACUCGCACUUUUUUUUCUCGAAAUCCACCGAGUCAUCAUCCACUCGCACGCCAGGGUCUUUUCUCGCCCCUCUCCCUUUAUUCCGUGGUGGUCCUCUCUCUCCUCCCUCCCUCCCUCCCUUCUUCUAAGAGCUCGUUCUCCGUUCUCGUGCGUGCACUACCGACAGUCUCUCGUGACGUGCCGAACAAACUAAGAAAACGGGAACGGACUCGGAAGUACACAUAAAAGAACACUUUAAUAUCUAGACGGAAAGAAGCAGGAGCAGCACUCGGCCAUUCUAUACGGAUAGCUCACCCUCUCAAAGGGUACUCGGACAUCCUCGUACGCCUGGCGAUAUCUCCUCCCCCUACCCCACUAGCUCGCGCUUCAUGUCCGCCAUCAUCAUCACACCCGUUGCUCCUGCGACGACGCCGCCCACUCGCACCCCUGCAAUGCAUCUGCAUAGCUUUAGCCAACCCACUCAAGCACAGCAGCAGCAGCAGCAGCUCCUUUUCCGGCCGCGCUGCGAGGAGGGGGUGACAUAUAGCGAAGACAACAACGGCACCGUGCACUACCGUUUCUACCUUCCCCAUGCCAGCUCUGUUGUUGUCGCUCCUGUGAAGGUUUGCCUGGUGGACAGCGAUGGUGGCACGGUCCCUGUCGCCUCCAUCGGCGCCGCCGCACCCAUGACAAAGCACCAAGACGGAGUGUGGGUCGGAACCGUGUCCGCACCAGUCGGACUGCAGUGUGUCGUCCUCAUGGUGGACGGCAACCCUGUGCUCACGCCCCACCUCAGCAUCGGGUGCCUGCAUGGGCUCCAGCGGGCAAACUACAUCGAUGUCCCGCCACCGAACCCAAAUCGAUGUGUCUACGCCAUGCGGCCCUCCGUCGAGCACGGGAUGGUGGCCCACAACUACUUGACGUCCUACACAAUGGACACAACCGAGGAAGUUCUUAUCUACGUGCCGCCCUCGUAUCACAAGGCGAGCAGCGCAACACGUCGGUACCCCGUGCUCUACCUCCUGCACGACGACCGCGAGUACCCAAUGAACUGCGUACAGCAGGGUAAGGUGAACGUCAUCGCCGACAACCUCAUCGCCGACGGCAAGAUGACGGAGAUGAUCAUCGUAAUGAAGAGUAGUGUGAGCGCACGCGCCAAUGGUGAAUGCAUUCCAUGCGAUGCGGCCAAGCUCUGCGAAGACCUGACGGAGGACAUCAUUCCGUACGUCGACAACCACUACCGCACCGAGGCAGAUCGCGACAACCGCGCCAUCGCCGGUCUCUACAUGGGCUCCAUACAAGCCAGCAGGCUCUGCAUAACACGCCACGAUCUCUUCGCCUACGCCGGCAUGUUCUCCGGCUUCCUGAGGAGCAACUGGAACGGCAUCAGUACGGACAGCGACCACAUCGAAGCCCUCCGCCGCGAUCCCGUAGCCUUCCAGACCGCCAUGAAAGUGCUCUUCCGUUGCAUUGGCGACGACAACACCCACCGCGCCGCGUUCGAGGCGGACGACGCUCUGCUGGCGGAGCUGGGCGUGGCGUGCGAGCGGCGCAUCUACGCGGGCUCACAUAGCUGGCAGGUAUGGCGCCAGGCCGCAGCCGAUUUCCUGCCAAUGCUAUUCAAGGACCUAAGCUUUCUUCCUCGUCACUGAGGCAGCCGCAAUGACGCCGUCUAGUCGGCCCCGUUGGUUUCACGCUAUCUGGGGUGAUUAGCACGCUGGUGGACACGCAUGCCCAACUGACGAGGAGGAGGAUUCACGUUUCUUUUUUUUUUUCAAUUUAAGUUGCAUAUGCUGACGCGGUGCUCUCGCUGUCCACGAAUCUUUACCGUGGAGCAAGCACACACACACACACACAUAUAUAUAUAUAUAUCGAGUCGCACACAAGUUGUUGGACUCUCUUGCUUGGCGGUGAAACGGGUGGAGAGGCGAGUAUUUAUUUUAAUUGCCUAUUUGAAGUACGUUUCUCGUGUUUCCAUUCCUCACCUUCCACCCACCCCGCCCUCUGUAUGGUUAUAUGUUCUCUUAUUCUCUCGUGUGUGUGUGUGUGGCGGGAACUACACACUUUUCCGUAGAAGCUCCUUACCUUUCGACUGUCGUGAAAGCGCACACCGCCUUGUGUGCCUUGCAUGUCUAACGCCGUCUCAACGUGCAGAGAUGUGCACCAACGCACACGCAUUUUCUGCUUGCCUUUGCUGCCCACGUAUCUCUCUCUCUCUAUGGGUCACCUCUGUAUCAGGCUUGGUCAUGUUGUUUUUUUUUUCUUUCCAUUUUUUUCUGUGUGUUCAACGGAGCCACCGGCGCAACUACCUCAGUAGCAGCACGAGCAGCAGGAACAAUCCCCGUUGCGGUUCUGCGUUACUCUUUUCUUUCCUGCUCCUCCGGCCACCACCACCACCACCACCCCUCCCCUUUCCCCUUCCCCUACUUCUCUUACCCCUUCAGCCCCACUCUCUGCUGAAUGUGUGCAUGUACAUGUGCGCACUGUUUGCUUUCUCUUCUUCUUUUCCAGUGUAAACCGAGAGCACGAAAAGAAGGUACUGCGUGACCCCCCCCCUCCCUUGUCGACCUCUCCCGAUCCAUCCUCGGACGCAUUGCGAAACGCGUUCGAGGAUGACAGUUCAUCUUCGCUUGUUGCUUUCUUCCUGUCUCACUGACUGUUGUUGUUUUGGGGGUGAGGGAGGGUGCAUGUGUAUCGGGAAAAGGAACUGUGGCGAAGACUCCUACGACUACCCCAAUGUCGCCCUUCUUUUGCUCUUUCACCCAUGCCCACAGACAUCCCCCGUCCCUUUCGCUCUCUCCUCGAUGACACAGCACAAAACUCGAUCAUUUUCAAUUGCCUGUUGGGACUUUGUGUGUGUAUGUGUUGCUUAUUUAUACUCUUCCUUCUUUGGAUGUGCGUUUGGUUGCCUUUGUCCCUCCCUUCCUGUCCAUGAGAUCAGCUUGGUAAAAACGGGGAGGUAGGGGUGGGGGGCUUGGGCACGGGCGAGCAUGGACACGAACGUCACGUUACUUUUUCGUUCUCUCCUGCAAUAACACACUCACGCGCAUAUCUCUCUGGCGCCAAGAUCCACUUCCCAUCUUUCUUCUGUUGCGUUUACACGCCUCGCGUACGACCUGUUCCUUCCUGUUUCCUUGUGCCUGCACCUCUGUUCGCUUGUGUGUGUGUGUGUGUGUGUGUAGAUCGCAAACACGAUUAUGUAGGCUAUGUAUAUUCACCGGUGGAGAGCCCUCGCUCACACAAGCGCAUGCCCGUGCAGCUGCGGGGGUCGUUCUUUUAUGUGGUGUGCACCUGCGUUCCCCCUUCAUCUUCAAACUCAGCACAGUACAUGCACGUGCACACACAGCCGCGCCUUCUGUUCACCUCCUCUAUACCAUGUACACCCGAAGCUCGCCUACGAGUGAUACAAAGAGGAGCGGUCCGUAUUCGACACGAAAGUGAAACCAUUGUAGUUGGAGUUGGGUUUCCGCGACGACCACCCUUCAACCGCUGCUUUCCCGCAGGUCGUGCGAUGGUGUAUCCUUGUGUGUAUGUAUGUAUGUAUGUGGGUGUAGGUGUGUACCCUUGCAUUGUGCUCACUCGCCUCUGCACUGAUAUGUUGUGGUGCGCCAAAAUCCAAGUGAAAACAAAGAAGCCAUCGCUUCGCGCGUGGUGUGCUUUAUCCUUUAUUUGCUCGCUUGUGCGGGUCUACACAGCUGAAGUGUUUUCUGCGUGUAUGUGUGCGCUAGCGGUACUGUAUCUUAAUCGUGGGUGUGGCGAAAAAGGGGAGGAGAGGAGAGAGCUGUCCAUCACAGAAAGAAUGAUGGUGUGGGGACGUUGGGUUUCUUCUCUGGUGUACUCUCGUCUCCAUGGGAUAUGGGAGAUGGCGAUGCGGCGACGCUUUCAAUGACGCGCGUAGAUUUUGUUUGCCGCCUUCGAUGGUCUGUGGAUCACAACUUAAAUGUGAAGGGAGAAUCGGUGUCCCUCCUCUCGCUUGUUUGUGAAAAUCGGAGUGCAAUGGAGGCAAUGCUGGGAUGCGGCAUGUCGCUUAGGUGCAUUCUCCUCCACACACUCGCCGAAGUACUUGCACCCCGCCAUUGUUGUUUUUUGUUCGCCGUCUUUCCCCGUAG